rnacentral:misc_RNA from 1 species
UCAACCAUCAAGCUAGGCUUGCUGUUGGGCCCGCCCGUGAUGGGGCGGGCCCCAAAGGCAGUGGCGGGGUGGACGGACCCUAGAUGCAACGAGCUGUAUCAUAACCAGCACGCAUCGAAGCGGCCGCCCGCCUUCGACCUCACCGGAUUUAUCCUUCAAA